rnacentral:rRNA from 1 species
AACGCGAAGAACCUUACCAGGGCUUGACAUAAUGUUGACCGGUAUAGAGAUAUACCCUUUACUUCGGUAACAAUAUUACAGGUGGUGCAUGGUUGUCGUCAGCUCGUGUCGUGAGAUGUUGGGUUAAGUCCCGCAACGAGCGCAACCCCUGUCUUUAGUUGUUAACAGAUAAAGCUGAACCCUCUAGAGAGACUGCCGAUGAGAAAUCGGAGGAAGGUGGGGAUGACGUCAAAUCAUCAUGCCCUUUAUGUCCUGGGCUACACACGUGCUACAAUGGUCGGUACAACGAGGAGCUACACAGCGAUGUGAUGCAAAUCUCUUAAAGCCGAUCUCAGUUCGGAUUGCAGGCUGCAACUCGCCUGCAUGAGGUCGGAGUUGCUAGUAAUCGCGAAUCAGAAUGUCGCGGUGAAUGCGUUCCCGGGCCUUGUACACACCG